AGCGAACGCUGGCGGCAGGCCUAAAACAUGCAAGUCGAACGCCGUAGCAAUACGGAGUGGCAGACGGGUGAGUAACACGUGGGAACGUGCCUUUUGGUUCGGAACAACACAGGGAAACUUGUGCUAAUAUCGGAUAAGCCCUUACGGGGAAGAUUAUCGCCAAAGAUCGGCCCGCGUCUGAUUAGCUAGUUGGUGAGGUAACGGCUCACCAAGGCUACGAUCAGUAGCUGGCUGAGAGGAUGAUCAGCCACACUGGGACUGAGACACGGCCCAGACUCCUACGGGAGGCAGCAGUGGGGAAGUCUUGCGCAAUGGGCGAAAGCCUGACGCAGCGACGCCGCGUGAGGGAUGACGGCCUCGG
rnacentral:rRNA from 1 species